ensembl:lncRNA
AAGACAGACCAAAUAAGGGGGAUGUGCUGUAAAGCCCGUGAAGACAGACCAAAUAAGGGGGGAUAUGCUGUAAAGCCUGUAAAGACAGACCAAAUAAGGGGGGAUAUGCUGUGAAGCCUAUAAAGAUAGACCAAAUAAGGGGGAUAUGCUGUAAAGCAUGUGAAGACAGACCAAAUAAGGGGGGAUAUGCUGUAAAGCCCGUGAAGACAGAUCAAGUGAAGACAAACCAACAAUACUACAGGCUCCUGGAUCUCCUCUUCAACAAGGUCACCCUUGAUCCAGUGCCGUAUGUGGGGAAGAUGUGCGAGCUGUCCAUCCCAGAACCCGUCUGCCCAGUGUGAGAGGCCUGACAAGGAGGAGGCCAUACCUGGAUUUGUCUCCAGCUUCAAUCUUUGGGUUGACUGAAGACAAGUGGGUGACUGAAGUCUGCUUGAUUGAAGCGGGGUACAUGGUCCCCCUCCUCUCCCGAUCCCGUCCCAUCAAUCUCUGUAGUUGGUUGCAUUUCCCAAAGUCUAAGUUAUUUAUAUGAUAUCACAUUUUCUUUUAUAUCAUUUUUUCUAACAUUUGGACGGGAGAUGAGAGUUACAAAUUGUAAGACUCAAUGGGGUCCUGCACACUGUAGGGCAGCAGGGUGCCU